rnacentral:rRNA from 1 species
AGUGGCGGACGGGUGAGUAACGCGUGAGUAACCUGCCUUCAAGAGGGGGAUAACAUUCUGAAAAGAAUGCUAAUACCGCAUGACAUAUCGGAACCACAUGGUUUUGAUAUCAAAGAUUUUAUCGCUUGAAGAUGGACUCGCGUCCGAUUAGUUAGUUGGUGAGGUAACGGCUCACCAAGACCGCGAUCGGUAGCCGGACUGAGAGGUUGAACGGCCACAUUGGGACUGAGACACGGCCCAGACUCCUACGGGAGGCAGCAGUGGGGGAUAUUGCGCAAUGGGGGCAACCCUGACGCAGCAACGCCGCGUGAAGGAUGAAGGUUUUCGGAUUGUAAACUUCUUUUAUUAAGGACGAGAAAUGACGGUACUUAAUGAAUAAGCUCCGGCUAACUACGUGCCAGCAGCCGCGGUAAUACGUAGGGAGCAAGCGUUGUCCGGAUUUACUGGGUGUAAAGGGUGCGUAGGCGGCUUUGCAAGUCAGAUGUGAAAUCUAUGGGCUCAACCCAUAAACUGCAUUUGAAACUGUAGAGCUUGAGUGAAGUAGAGGCAGGCGGAAUUCCCCGUGUAGCGGUGAAAUGCGUAGAGAUGGGGAGGAACACCA